GCCAGGUAUGGUAGUGCAUGUCUGUAAUCCCAGUGGCUGGGAGGCUGAGGCCGGAGGAUCGCAAGUUCAAAACCAUCCUCAGGAAAAGCAAGGUGCUAAGCAACUCAGGAAGACCCUGUCUCUA
rnacentral:sRNA from 1 species